rnacentral:lncRNA from 1 species
AUAUCUGAGGCCUUCUGAAGGCCUUGAAAUGCUUGGUCUUGACAUGACAAUUGAUGGCUGCUGGCUGUACAAACACAAAGGCCUGGAGUAUAAGGAGAGCCAGAUGGAGCUGGAAUUGCACUGUGUAUUCUUCCUAAAUAAGCGAAAGAUUUAUAAAUUGAUGAAAUUUCUUUGCUCAUGCAGAUGUUUUGUGCCUCCUGUACUGAACUGGGCUCCAUGUGUCACGUUUGCUCUCACCAUGUGCUGCUGAGUUCACAGUGCUCUGACAAGAGCAGUGCGGGGCUCUGCUGCAGAUGGGGCUGGGAUGGUGUAGUGCCCUCUAAGUGAACUCUCAAGUCUUCUCUAGCAGAGGGAGAGCCCUUGCCAAGCUUGUCAGACAGCGAUGUGCAGAGCCGUUCUCUGUCAAUGGGUUUGUUGGGCAAAGUCAGGGCUUGACAAAGAAGAAGUAGAUGCCAGCACAUCCUGGCAUGGCAGCACCAUACGGAUCCAUCCUCCUGCUGCUACCCUUCAGCUGAUGGCACCGGAAGUCUUCCCAUCAGAAAGCUCAAUCUUCUUUUCAUACAUCUUAGAGGAAAAUUGGGUGUCGCUUUCUGCUGAGUCUACUGCCUACUUGGUCCUUAACAGCCCACUUUGUCCCUGUAACCAAAGCCCUAGGUCCAAGUAAAGGAUAACAGGAAUAAAAAGGUGUUUUAAAAUUGCUAAAUGUUAAUGGUUGCUCUUUCAGAAGUUAGGCUUUGAGUAAACACCACAGGUUUAUUUUUCAACUGUCCCUAAGAAAUAACAAAGAUGAUGAAGACUUGUUUUUCCUUUAAUACCAUAUGGUCUUCCUUCCACUUGUGACAACUUUUCAGGAACUGCUCUUAAGACAUAAUUUCUGAUUGAACUCUAAGGUUGGGGAAGGAGCAAUAUGGAAGAUUUUUGGUGCAAGCCCUGUCUCUGCCCUAGGUGUGUAGUACACUCAUAACUGACUGGAGGCAUGACAUGACUGCACAUUUCUCAGAGUUAGCCUUAUACAGCUGGAAAAGUGAUCCCUUUUACUUGGGAAAGAAGCUGAGUUCCAUCAUUACAGAGCUGUGCAUGCAUCUGGUUAACGUUUCUUCCAAGAUAAAGUUACUAAAACAUUCCCCACUAAGUUUUAUAGAAUGUUUCUCUCUUCCCUGCAGGAAGUGUGGGCAGUGUGUGCAUUUACUUUCUGUGAUAAUGCUGUGUUUAGAGCGUCACCAGGCACUGUUUUAAGCAAAUGAUGCCAAAAUUUAGGGACGAUAAGCAAUGAAAUUUGAGGUAGCUACAAAUCUGACUUUUAUCACUGCUUUGCUUACCCUGAAGCCUCGAACUGUACUGUGGAAGCAUCCUGAGACUAUGCUUAUUCUUGUAGGACUCAAAAUCGUGCAGAAAUCAGUUAAUGCAUCAUUUGCCUCACUGCCAAAGUAUGUUCUCCUACUAAGAAGGGACCAGCAUCUCUUCAGUGUUACUUGAAGUAGUUGUAGUGACUUUUUUUCAGCAUCUUCUCUUCUGACUUGCAUUCUGUGAAGAAAACACCAUCAGUGGGCCAAGGUGACCUCAAGCACAUCCCUAAUUUAUUUUUACUUGCUGUCCAGAACUCUGGUAGCAAGAAGCAGGUGUCCCCCUUUUAGGAUAUUAGACUUUCCUUUAGCCCAUGUUCCCAGUGGUCUCUUUAGAACAGUGAUCCUUUCUCAUAAUCCUCUGUCCAUCCUCCAGCAGAAGAAGCUCCCCUAUAAUUAGUACCACUGGUACUGCCAAUGGAUUCCAGGCCAAUGCACAGAGUAAUUGCUGCUCAAGAUUACUUAUGACACAAAUGUUGACAUUCUGUUGGCAUAACUUGCAAUAAUGUAUGCAGAUUGCAUCCUUCUAGUGCCUUAAUUAUUACUUCUCUGCAAGAAAUAGUCAGGUUAUCCUCUGCUUUGAUUUGAAGGAGAUAAUUCCACCUUGAAGCACAGUUCUUUAGAGAAGGGCAGGAGAGGAAAGGAACGGCCCAAAAUGCUGUUAUCAUGGCUUUUUCUCCACAUGGGAUGAGUUUGUAGCUCAACCUUGGCUACAUCUUCCUCCUUUUUUCUGCCUCACUGUGGGAGUGGGGAGGUCUCUUUCAAGGUGAAACUUUCCCUGGGAAAACACAGAAGUGCCGCAUUUAAUGAGCCAAGACAGAUGUCCUAUUCAACAGCCAGCAGCAUGCAUGAAAGUACUUAGUAUUUAUUAUCUACAGCAUGACAGUGUCUGGAGUCCACAACCAAGGCUGAGGUUUUGUUGGGCUGUUAGAUAAAAUUCCUAACCCACGAAGCUUAAGUUAUACAUGAAACAGGAGGCAGAGUGUAGGGAAAGGAAAAAGAGAUCCAUCUGCAAAGCACAGAUCAAUGAAGAAACCCAAAACAGAAAAACAAUAAAUUUAACACCUUCCCCUUAAGAGCUUGCAUUUUGUCUCUAGCUAAAAGAAUCCUGGGAAGCCUGAGAAAUUAUUAUACAGAAAUGCUGUUUUCAGACAAGUUUAUACGAGAAGAACAACAAAGAGCUCUAGAAACCCAGUCUGGGAAUGGAAGCACGUGGCUCAGAUUCUCCUACAUGUAUAACAUUAUAAUUUUAUUUUUAUAAACUGACUAACACCUGAAGACAUUCAGAAUAGAAAAUAGGACAGAGGAAAAUAUCUUGCAAAGUAUAUCCUUGGAGAAUACAGUUGCACAGCAACAGAGGAUGUAUUCCUGGAGCUCUGGAUAUAAAACCGCUAAGGACUCAUGUUUCAUACAUGGGGGAAGGAAAAUGCUCCAUGCCUUUGCAAGGUGGGGAAAAUGUCUCUGCAAGAGGAUGUGCCACUGCUUUGAUGUGCAGAUAAAGUUAUUUCUUUUUCCUGGCCAAAGUCCUUUCAAAUUUUUGAGUUAUGCAAAGAUUUACUCUGUUCUGCUUUUUAUACUGACUCAUAUUUUCUGGUAUCCUGCACUAAUACCCAAUGGCUUGGAGAAAUCAUGUCAGUCUGUCCUUCACCUAGACCCAGAUCCUAAAUACUACAGAAUGUAUGUAGCCACCAGUGAAAAUCUCAUGGUGGAGAAGGAAAACCCCUUCUCAGACCUGCCCAAGUUACCCACGUAGCUUGAACUGAGAUCUCCUUCUCAGGCUUGCUUGGUAAUUGAUUCCAUUAUUAUAUAGGGAAAUAACUAACUUUCUUAAAAAGAAUGGGAGCCUGGUGAAUUCCUUGACUCAGUAACCUCCCUAAAGCCCUGGACUGUGAAUGUCACCCUUAAGGUGGGUGCACCUCCCCAAGCUGCCUUUUCGGUUUCUCUAAUUGUGUCUGUAUUCUUGCACUGUCUGAUGGAAAAGGAACAGGUCUGCUCAGAUUAAACUGAAAGGGAUUGUGAGAAACAAGUCUCCUGAGAUAAUAUGGGGAAGAUAAUUGACAUCAUUGGGAGCAUUCAAUUUCUGUAAGUCCUUUUUGGUCAGGAGGGAUCAAUUUUCCAGGAUCAAGAUAAAAACGGAGCCCCCCUAAAUCAUUUCCUAUCAUUGUCCCAGAAGCCAAUAAGCACAAGGAGCCGUGACCAUUCUUCCCUCCUGGGGACAGCUGAAUCGAAACCUGAAAGUUAAGUAACACACUUAGAUACUAUGGUGAUCAAGUUCUCCCACAAUUGUAGGCACAGUCAGUGAAUAAUAAAUCAUCUUGUUUUUGAACGGUUUGAACUCUACCUUUCCAAAGCAGAGCGAGAGAGGUUUAAGAAAAGAUAGAUCUAAUUAUUUCUGUGGGAUCUUGGUGGUACCAUCCCAACAGCUCCAACACAGCUGCGGGUCUGCAUUGCAAUGCGUCCCUUAGCAUCGAUGUUGCUGUGUGCCAGGCUGGAGAUGACAGUUCAGCAGUAAAAAUGAAGUUGAACAAGAUCAUGGCGUUGUGAGUGUUUUACUCAGUUUUUGAAACAGCAGCUGACCUGGCAGGACUCUCCUUCAUGAACCAAUUUCACUCUGCCUUAUUCAAUAAAUGCACAAACCG